UUUGACCUCAAAUCAGGUAGGACUACCCGCUGAACUUAAGCAUAUCAAUAAGCGGAGGAAAAGAAACUAACAAGGAUUCCCCUAGUAACUGCGAGUGAAGCGGGAAAAGCUCAAAUUUGAAAUCUGGCAGUCUUUUUUUUCUUCUUUGGCUGUCCGAGUUGUAAUCUA
rnacentral:rRNA from 1 species